UUCCAUAACAAGCAAAAAGAAAUAAAACCAAAUCACACUAAAUAACAUUGAGAUUAUAAAAGCUGACACUUCCAAAAUGUCUCUGGCCCAUCUUCCACUUCAUAUGGUAAAAGGAUAAAGGGGCCUGAAAUGAAAGUAUGGCACAGUUAAUCAAGUCAGGCACCAAAAUGCUAACACUCUUUCCUGGAGAGAGAAAGGCUAAGAUCUCUUUUACUCAAAGAAGAAAUCCUCCUGCAGGCGUUCGGCAAACCAGCAUUUCUUCCUUCUUCACCUUGCAGCCAGGAAAGAAAAAUGGUGGUGAUCAGAAGAGUGUUUCAUCACAUAUAGAAAGUCAGACCAACAGAGAGUCUAAGAAAGAUGCAGCCCACCUAGACCAUCUGAUCCAGGGCUUGGGGGAUGAUUGCAUGGCACCCCCUUUAGCCACUUCAACCCCUGCAGACAUCCAGGAAGCUGGACUUUCUCCUCAGCCCCUCCAGGCUUCUGGACACCACAGAACGGGAACCCCAUUCUUGACUGGGCUGUCUUUGUUUCAGCCUGAUACCUUAGUCUGUACUGGAGAAAGUCAAGACUCACUGACUUGUUCCUUCACCCAGGACUUGGAAAGUUUUUGCUUGCUGGACCAAAAGGAAGGAAAGAAGAAUUCUUCCUGGAAAAUGGAAUGGCUUCAUGAAUCUAAGAAAAAGAAAUGUCAGGGUAUGGAGAGACGCAGUAAACCACCUGGGGGCAAGGGCCAUCAGCCCUUGGACAAGCCUAAAUUGGAAAAGGUGUCUGCCAAAGAAAAUAGGCAGGCCCCUGUCCUCUUUCAAACAUACAGGGAGUCCUGGAGUGGAAGAAACACAGAAGCAGUGAAACAAAGUUCUUGUCCUGUUGCUGUGGUUUCCUGGGACAGUGAAAAGGAUGACAGGGACUCAUGGAGUCAGCUUUUCACUGAGGAUUCUCAGGGCCAGAGGGUCAUUGCUCACAACUCUAGAGCUCCUUUCCGAGAGGUAACCAACAGCCAGAACCAGGGCUUGGGGCAGUUUCCUCACAGCCCUUGGGCUCAGUGCCAGGAUAAGCCCACUCAGUUAAAUCUGCAGCCUGAUUUGCUCUUUACCCAGGACUCUGAAGGCAAUCAAGUUAUCAGGCACUAAGUCUAAAUGUCUUUGAGGGCUUGGUUUUAAAAAUAUCUUGGGGAGGUAUGGGAUGAAGCUCUUAUUGUUGAGCAUUUUCUUUGUCUAAAUAAAGCAGGUGGUGACACUUAAGACGGUAUGGUUGGCAUCAUGCCUUUUCCUGAAGAACAGGUGACUGGUAAAUUCCCUGUAUGAAUCUGGUGAGCACGGAGGACGCAGGGGAGGUACUCAUCCCUCCACUAAAGGGCCUGUUACUCAGCCUGCACAGAGCCACGCUUUCAGAUGCCUAACUGGGACAUCGCUUCUUAUAGAUGUCUACACUUCUAACCUCUGGCUACAAAUACUUAUCAACCGAAUUUUGGGACCAUCAACUGACACAUUUUUGAGUGGCCCAGGAACCUGCAAGCAAGCUCUCUGGUAUCUCUCGUGCAAGUGCUCAGACCACACUUGGAGAAACACUGCAAGGUGGUGGCUCUCCAGCUGGAGCACUAGGGCUUCUCUGCCAGAUGAGUUUCUCAAGAUCCUGGCUCUGUUUCAUCCGGUGAAAGUCCUUCAGGAUCCCCAUCAUAUCUGCAAAGCUGCUGGCCUUGGACAGAGAGAUGCAGUCAUCCUCUUCAGAC